AAGACAUGGUGUGGGCAUUUUCUUAACAUUUCCUUAAAUUGCUUCCAGGCUUCAUAAAUGGAUUCCCCAUCUAAUUAGUUAAAAGAUGUGAUAUCAUUUUCAGCUU